AACUAGUAGUCAUCGCGCUAUUCCCACUCCCAACACUAGUUGGCGUAAGCGGACGGACUCCGCUGGAUGCUACCCGCCUAUGAAACCAGAAGAAGCCGCCGCCUCGGUCAGCCUAUCCGAGUACCUAUUUACCUCCAUUAGCGCCGCUCUCAAAAACAAUAAGUAGCAGGAAUGGUGAAGAUUUUCAUUGGCAAUCUGUCUCCUGAGACCGAGAAGGAGGAGAUCGAUGCUCUCUUCAGCCAGUACGGCACGGUCACGGAGUGUGCCAAGUACAAGAACUAUGCUUUCGUCCACAUGGAUGACCGUAAGUGUGCCACCAAAGCGAUCCGCGAGCUCCACCUCCACAGGGUGGGCGGCAGGGCAAUUAACGUGGAGCUCAGCAGAGGGAAGAACUCCCAGGGGGCUUUGAAGCUCCACGUGGCCAACGUUGAGAGGGGCUUUGACAGUGAGCUGCGCGAGCUGUUUGAGGAGUACGGCACAGUCACGGAGUGCGCCAUCAUUAAGAACUUUGCGUUUGUUCACAUGGCCAACUACGAUGAGGGCAUGGACGCUCUCCAGGGCCUGGAUGACACGGAUUUUAAAGGAAAACGCAUUCAGGUCCGGGUAUCAAAGAGCAGACCGAAAGAGGCUCUGGAAGAGGAGGAAUAUGGGCCUCCCCCUCCCAGAGCAGCCUAUUAUCCUCCUCCUUUUCCACCUGAGAGGCCCGAGCCCCCCUACAGAGGUCGCAUGGGCUACCAUCCUCCUCCUCCCCCCCCACCACCUCCUCCUCCUCCAAUGAGACGAGCGCUCUAUCCUGACCAUGGCUAUGGCGAGCGAAGUUCCUUUGGAGUGGUGGAUUAUUACGAGAAGUACAGAGCCCGCCCUCAGAGCACAUUAGGCAACGGCGACAGACGCGCCAUUCCUCCUCCACCGCCUCCCUCUGCGCUUGUUAGACAACGCCUUGGAAUAAGUCCGUAUGAGCGCCGGCCGCUUCCACCUCCUUCGCCCUACGCAGCCAGAGACCGGAGUCCCAUUAGAAGAGUCCUCCCUCCACCUGCUCCUUCUCCUGGUAACGGGUACUCCUACGAGCGCUCUCGGCUCUCCCCCGUCCCCAGAGUGCCGCUUUAUGCGACUCCUCGUCCCAGAGAUCCCUAUGCUAACAGUGUACCACCUCCCCCUCCACUGCCAUCCCGGUACGCAAGCUAUUAAACAACACACUGACGUCAGUAUUUGUGCUCUUUAAACAUGAGAUGUCAGCUCAGGUUCAGUAAUCCUCUGAAGACGGCCAUACAAGCAAGGUAGCACCUCCUCAAAGGAGGCAGGAUUUUGUUGACAGUCUGGAAGUUCCCAGCAUCCUGGACCACCGAGAGACGGACACCGAGGCUGGAAUGCUGCACUUUGAUCUGAGCUGGGUGAAAAGAAGAAGAAUCAUAACUGCAGGGACAUGGCUUCAAUCAAAAAGCUUUUUUUCUUGUUUUUUUGUACAAAGAUGUCAAGAAGAACCUUAGAAGAUAAACUUGUUCCACUGUUGAAAUCUGAUGGAAGAAACAGCUGAGAAAAUAUUCAGCUUGAAUGAGAAGUCCACACCUUUUCUCUACAAAUUCAAAUGUUCUCGUUUCAGUUAGUGGUGUUGAUGCAGUCGCACAGUUUUGGCUGAAAGUCUUAGAAGGCAAUUAAAGAAAAGGAUAAAAGAUGAAACGGAACGAUGUAUGAAACCAAGCAGAAGUGUAAACUGCAGCCUCUACUACUCCAUCUCUGCUUAGAAACACCUGACAGUGAAAUGUAAACAAACCAGUCUAAACCAAUGACCAUUAUGCAAACAAAAUACAGGAGUUUCAGUUUCAUUUGUUAGCACUGGCAUUGAAGAUGAAAAACAUCAAUGCAGUUCGCUGAUGCCUGUAGAAAUAUUUUAUAAAGCAUCUUCGUCUUAUCUUUCAAAUUUGUAAAUGAACAUUUUUUAUCCUGUUACUGUUUCUCUCCAUCUCUGAAUAAAGUUUUAUUGAAACUCCUUUGUUUUGACUGUAUUUGUGUGUAAUGAUUUUGUUUUGAUGAUACUGAAAUAAUAGCAUACUUGUAAUAAAGAGGUCAAAGGUCAUUUUAGAUCCCUAAA